rnacentral:rRNA from 1 species
GUCUUCAUGGAUUUUAUGUGAAGUCUGAUCUGCCCAAUGCUUGGUUAAUGGCCGCGGUAUUUUGACUGUGCGAAGGUAGCAUAAUAAAUAGUCUAUUAAUUGUAGUCUGGUAUGAAGGAUUUGACGUAGGGAGAGCUAUUCUUUUUAAUGUAAUGAAUUUUAAUAGCCAGUAAAAAUGCUGGUGUGAAGGUGAGGGACGAGAAGACCCUAUUGAGUUUAAUGUGUAUUAUCAUUAUAUGGUAUUGUUUUGUGGUUUUGUACAUUUGGUUGGGGCGAUUUUGAACAUUAAACGUUCAAGUGGGUGGUCUAGUUUAUUAGUAUGAGGAUCCAUUAUUAGUGAUUAAUAGAAUAAAUUACCAUAGGGAUAACAGCGUAAUUUUUUCGUAGAGUUCUUAUCGAUGAAAAGGAUUGCGACCUCGAUGUUGAAUUAGGAUUCCUACGGGGUGCAGAAGUUCUGAUAGGUAGUCUGUUCGACUAUUUAAUUCCUACA